UAGUAUUUCACACGUCAAACACAUACUACAAAUAUAGUUCUUUUGCGUGUAUAUUCUCAUCAAUCAUAUACUCAUGAAUGAUCAUCACGUUCGUGCAUAAAGAAAAAAGUUUAAACUUCAAUAAAAAAUAUGAAAAACGACGUUUAACGCUUAAACCAUAGAUGAAGGUCUAUCAUAACACGAAAUCUAAUACACUAUAUAUCCUACUCUAUUAUUAAAAUUGAUCUCAUGUAAAACAUGGUGCCCAAUUUCUUGCUUUUGAUCUCCUCACAUAAUAAAUAUAACAUAUUGGAGUUAUAUUUACCAUAUAACUUUAAGAUAAAAGGAUAGAAACAUCUUCGCCAUGGCUUGGAUCCGUAUAGCAUUCAACAUGAUUUUUCCUGGAUAAAGAAGAGAAACAAACGCAAAUAAGGAUAAAUACAGAGAUUGUAAGGAUAGGACAAUAAUCCAAAUUGUUGACUUUUAAAUAAUAAGCAAUUGGUUAUGAUGGAUUUAACUAUUCUACCUUGUGAACCCUACAUUCCAAACUAACACAGAUCAUUAAUAUUUUGCUUUAUUUGAAUUACUUAGUGACAAAAGUCAAGAGAACUAUCAUGCACCGACAUGGACAAGUGAACCUGCAACAAAAACAUAUAAAGUUUUCAUACACUUAACUAAAUCAAGCUCCAUGAACUAUGUAAGUUACCUGAACUUAAGACUAAUAGUACGCUCACUAACCAUCAAGCUUUCUUGGCAGCUGCAUACUCGAUAAUGUCACCCUCACUUUGUCCAUAUUUAUAAUAUGAUAAUGCUGAAUCAACACGAGUUAGAAAGGAUAGAUGGCCAGAGUAAAAGAAACAGUUUGCUUAAGGGUGGAAAGAAAAUGAACAUAGUAAAAUAAGGCACGAGUUUGUCACUAAUUGUGAACUUGUGUACUGCUGAAUGAACCUCCACCACAUCAGUAGCUAUAUAAGUACCUAUUGCAGGUGCGAUGUGCAAUACAUCAAGGAAAAAAGUGGACAUUCAAGUUCAGCUCCUAAAUGAAGAGAAUCAAAUGUGAUUCAUCAGUUAAAGCUUACAUGUCUUGGAUAUGUGUAAUUUUGCUAUCUACCUGAUAGAUAAAACCAAAAUUUUAAAUUUCCAAAGCAACAGACUAUAUGAGGACAAUAUAAAAGACCUCCACUCUUCAGUCAAACCUAGUAUAAAUGGAUUACAUCUGUACCAGUGGCUUUCAGAAUCCAACAUAUGUAGUUGGUUCAGCAAUUGACAAUACAAAGAAAGAAUUACUAAUUCUCGAUUUGGUUAAAUUGAUUUCUCUUGUCGAGGUAAAACUCACAUAAUGACAGAAAUAAGGAAUAAAAUAAUACCUGGGUGAAAGUGUUAUCCAACCAUCCAUGUCACUACUAAUUAGACAUGAAAGUGAAGCACCGUUGAGGUUUUGCGUGCAAAAUCAUGUAAGCGAAUGUGAGGAAUUUGAUCUAUUGCCAACUUGCAUUAUGUGAAUCAUGAAAGAGUCCAAAUCCAAUCUGCUAACGUCAGCAACACUUGUAGGCAAACAUUUUGCUCAAUCAUUGGUAGUGAGUUAUUUAGCAGUACCAUUGACAGCAUGAUGGUGUUGAGGUAUCCUCAAUGCAGAGUUCUGUUAAGAAAGAAAUAAAAUAUCAAUCUCUUAAAAUGGAUUGACAAUCUAGAAUCAAACUCUCAAAAUGGCAUAAAUCGACUGGAAUAACAAAUUUUCGAAACCACUAAGAGGAAAGAACAUCAUAAAUCCAAUGAAAUAGAGUGAGAUGAUAUAUUAUAAAAAAAGAGUGAGAUGAUGAUUAAACACUUAGGAAGAUCAGGAACCCACUGUAUAUUGAACCCUUUUGCCGGCACCGAAUAGACAUGGGAAAGCUCCAAUAUUUUUUAUGGAAUAUGGAAGUGGGAAAAUCAGGAACCCAUCCUCAGCAGAAUCUUUCAUCGGCAAUAAGAAUCUAGAGAUAUUGGACAAGAUGGAGUUGUCGGCUAGUUCUUAUUGUGAAAAGAGGCGACAACAACGUAUAUAAAAUCGGAGAAGAGAACAACCACAUAGUCCAACCUUAUCGUUCUGAGUGCGAAGAAGUCCAAACAUGCUAAAGCCGGAGCUGAAGCUCAGCAAAUGAGAUUUCAGGCAAUACAUCGCAGCAAGAUAUAUUUGGGGAAAGGAUAAGGGGAAGAGAAAGUGAAAACAGUGUAUGGGAAGCAGAGAGGAAAAGGAGAAUAAUGAUAAGAUCGAGGAAGAUAUCGUAAUAGGGGAAAAAUAAGAAAAAAGGAGAGAAGGGAUUUCGGUCGGAAUUCAGUUUAGUAAAACUGAGCUUUAUUUAGUUUUAACUUGAAACUGAAUGAAUUACAAUCGCAGCUGGGAUCGAAAAAGAAACUGAAUGGGCCAACCACUUGAUCGUCGGGAGAAUUAAUUCCGGAAGCGAAACAAAACCAGAAAUAUUCGGGCGAGAAAUCGUGAAGAACCAUAGUCAGCAAACUGACAAACUGAUUCUGUCUGAUAACAAAAGUUGAAGGAAGAAGCAUCAAUGGAGGAUGCAUUGGGUGAAGGUGAUGAAAAGGCAGGCAUUGGGAGAAGAUAAUGGAGGUUAACAGGUAAUGUGGUGGGGUCAAAAUAAGCAACCAGCAGGUCACAAGGCAAAAAUGGUUACUAAUUCAAUUCCAA
rnacentral:lncRNA from 1 species